rnacentral:rRNA from 1 species
GAGCUCGACUCUGGAACUGCCAUUGAUACUGAAGGUCUUGAAUUUAGUUGAGGUGGGCGGAAUACGUUAUGUAGCGGUGAAAUGCAUAGAUAUAACGUAGAACACCGAUUGCGAAGGCAGCUCACUAAGCUAACAUUGACGCUGAUGGACGAGAGCGUGGGGAGCGAACAGGAUUAGAUACCCUGGUAGUCCACGCCGUAAACGAUGAUUACUCGUUGUGCACGAUACACUGUGCGUGACCGAGCGAAAGCAUUAAGUAAUCCACCUGGGGAGUACGUUCGCAAGAAUGAAACUCAAAGGAAUUGACGGGGGCCCGCACAAGCGGAGGAACAUGUGGUUUAAUUCGAUGAUACGCGAGGAACCUUACCUGGACUUAAAUGUAGAUUGACCGGUUUAGAAAUAGAUCUUCCCUUCGGGGCAAUUUACAAGGUGCUGCAUGGUUGUCGUCAGCUCGUGCCGUGAGGUGUCGGGUUAAGUCCCAUAACGAGCGCAACCCCUAUCGUUAGUUGCUAGCAGGUAAUGCUGAGGACUCUAGCGAGACUGCCACCGUAAGGUGAGAGGAAGGUGGGGAUGACGUCAAAUCAGCACGGCCCUUACGUCCAGGGCUACACACGUGUUACAAUGGCCAGUACAAAGGGCAGCUACCUGGUGACAGGAUGCUAAUCUCUAAAGCUGGUCUCAGUUCGGAUCGGAGUCUGCAACUCGACUCCGUGAAGUUGGAUUCGCUAGUAAUCGUAGAUCAGCAAUGCUACGGUGAAUACGUUCCCGGGCCUUGUACACACCGCCCGUCAAGCCAUGGAAGCCGAGGGGACCUGAAGUUCGUAACCGCAAGGAGCGACCUAGGGUAAAAUUGGUAACUAGGGCUAA